rnacentral:rRNA from 1 species
UGGCGGCGUGCCUAAUACAUGCAAGUCGAGCGAAUGAUUAGAGAAGCUUGCUUCUCUCUGAUUUAGCGGCGGACGGGUGAGUAACACGUGGGUAACCUACCCUAUAGACUGGGAUAACUUCGGGAAACCGGAGCUAAUACCGGAUAAUACUUUUGAACUCAUGUUCGAAAGUUGAAAGAUGGUUUCGGCUAUCACUAUGAGAUGGACCCGCGGCGCAUUAGCUAGUUGGUGAGGUAACGGCUCACCAAGGCAACGAUGCGUAGCCGACCUGAGAGGGUGAUCGGCCACACUGGGACUGAGACACGGCCCAGACUCCUACGGGAGGCAGCAGUAGGGAAUCUUCCACAAUGGACGAAAGUCUGAUGGAGCAACGCCCGCGUGAGUGAAGAAGGAUUUCGGUUCGUAAAACUCUGUUACAAGGGAAGAACAAGUAGCGUAGUAACUGACGCUACCUUGACGGUACCUUGUUAGAAAGCCACGGCUAACUACGUGCCAGCCGCCGC